rnacentral:misc_RNA from 1 species
GUUAAAUUGCACAUGUAUGUUUCAUAGAAAUGAAAUUGACCAUAAUAAAGUACAAUCAAAUAAAAAUUAGAGAGAACAACAAAUUAAAAAUUCAUUCAAUUACAUUCCAUUACACUCUUGUUGUUGCAUAAAAUGUAUUGACCAUUUCCACACAUCUUUGCUUACCGUAUCACAUGAGACCUAGUUCAUUUUAGGUUUUGGUGCUUGUACUUUUGAUCAGAGGUCCUUAUACUGUUAAACACUUCAUGUUUGAUACUUUAGAUGAUGUUCAUUAUUCUGAAGUGACUUUCUGGAUUUGUGGGUACUAUGUACAAGUUCUUGAAAUCCUGUUUUCUGUCACAACUUGGUGUUUUUGUAUCGUCAUAAAGAAUAUCAAUUAUGGUAUAUAUUGAAUGUAAUUGAUAGAAUUCGGUAAGCUCAUGCUGAGGAAGUGGCGUGGCCUUGUUCCUGGGGCUUGUCUUGGUCUUGGUCCUGGUCCUGGUCCCGGUCCCGGCCUAGUGUCAUGUGCUCUCAAGCCCCUCUUAAGUUUCGCCUCCACUAGGAGGAAAAGAAUCAUCUCAACUCAGCUGUCCAUUUUUCUCAAAGCUUAAUCAAUUGAGAUAGGAAUUGGACAAUGGCAGCGAUAACCUAUGGCAGGAGUGAUACUUAUGGAUAGCUAUGGAGAUCGCCUGCAAAAGUUGCCUAGAAAGAGGCCGGCAAGCGAUUGAUCGAUCCCUUAAUCCCAAUCCUCUCAACCCUAACCUUAAUCCUGAUCUCUUAAGACCAUCCCAACCUCAAGGCUGAUGAUGUUGAAUCCUCUGCUUCUUCAAUUCCAAUCAAGAACAUCUGAUCUUCAUUGCUGCCACAAAGGUAUUGUUGGUGUUUCAGAGAAACGGAAAUGCGGGUCAAGAUCAUAAAUGAUGAUAUUAUUUUUUUUUUUCAAAAA